GACGAACGCUGGCGGCGUGCCUAAUACAUGCAAGUGGGACGCAAGGAAACACACUGUGCUUGCACACCGUGUUUUCUUGAGUCGCGAACGGGUGAGUAACGCGUAGGUAACCUGCCUAUUAGCGGGGGAUAACUAUUGGAAACGAUAGCUAAUACCGCAUAAUAUUAAUUAUUGCAUGAUAAUUGAUUGAAAGAUGCAAGCGCAUCACUAGUAGAGGGACCUGCGUUGUAUUAGCUAGUUGGUAAGGUAAGAGCUUACCAAGGCGACGAUACAUAGCCGACCUGACAGGGUGUACGCCCACACUGGGACUGAGACGCGGCCCAGACUCCUACGGGAGGCAGCAGUAGGGAAUCUUCGGCGAUGGACGAAAGUCUGACCGAGCAACGCCGCGUGAGUGAAGAAGGUUUUCGGAUCGUAAAGCUCUGUUGUAAGUCAAGAACGUGUGUGAGAGUGGAAAGUUCACACAGUGACGGUAGCUUACCAGAAAGGGACGGCUAACUACGUG
rnacentral:rRNA from 1 species